rnacentral:rRNA from 1 species
GUGCCAGCAGCCGCGUAAUUCCAGUCGUCCAAUAGCGUAUAUUAAAGUUGUUGUGGUUAAAAAGCUCGUAGUUGAACCUUGGGCCUGGCUGGCCGGUCCGCCUCACCGCGUGCACUGGUCCGGCCGGGCCUUUCCCUCAGUGGAACCCCAUACCCUUCACUGGGCGUGGCGGGGAAACAGGACAUUUACUUUGAAAAAAUUAGAGUGCUCCAGGCAGGCCUAUGCUCGAAUACAUUGGCAUGGAAUAAUAAAAUAGGACGCGCGGUUCUAUUUUGUUGGUUUAUAGGACCGCCGUAAUGAUUAAUAGGGACAGUCGGGGGCAUCAGUAUUCAACUGUCAGAGGUGAAAUUCUUGGAUCAGUUGAAGACUAACUACUGCGAAAGCAUUUGCCAAGGAUGUUUUCAUUAAUCAGGAACGAAAGUUAGGGGAUCGAAGACGAUCAGAUACCGUCGUAGUCUUAACCAUAAACUAUGCCGACUAGGGAUCGGACGGUGUUAUUCAUGACCCGUUCGGCACCUUACGAGAAAUCAAAGUGCUUGGGCUCCAGGGGGAGUAUGGUCGCAAGGCUGAAACUUUAAAGAAAUUGACGGAAGGGCACCACCAGGGGUGGAGCCUGCGCCUUAAUUUUGACUCAACACGGGGAAACUCACCAGGGUCCAGACACAAUAAGGAUUGACAGAUUGAGAGCUCUUUCUUGAUUUUGUGGGUGGUGGUGCAUGGGCCGUUCUUAGUUGUGGGGUGACUUGUCUGCUUAAUUGCGAUACGGACGAGACCUUAACUUGCUAAAUAGCCGGCAUUGCUUCGGCAGUGCGCUGGCUUCUUAAGAAGGGACUUUCGGCUCAAGCCGGAGGAAAGUUUGAAGGCAAUAACAGGUCUGUGAUGCCUUUAGAUGUUCUUGGCCGGCACCGCGCGCUAACACCUGACGGGGAUCAGCGAAGUUCUCUUUGG